AGAGUUUGAUCAUGGCUCAGGGUGAACGCUGGCGGCGUGCUUGACACAUGCAAGUCGAACGGUAUGUGGCAACACAUAGAGUGGCGAACGGGUGAGUAACACGUGGGAACGCACCCUACGCAGGGGGAUAACUGACCGAAAGGACAGCUAAUACCGCAUAAGACCGAAAGGUGAAAGGUGCAACUGCACCGGCGAAGGAGCGGCCCGCGGACCAUCAGCUAGUAGGUGGGGUAAGAGCCUACCAAGGCAACGACGGAUAGCCGGCGUGAGAGCGUGGCCGGCCACAAGGACACUGAGAUACGGGUCCUACUCCUACGGGAGGCAGCAGUGCGGAAUUUUAGAUAAUGGAGGCAACUCUGAUCUAGCGACGCCGCGUGCAGGAAGAAGGUCUUCGGAUUGUAAACUGCUGUGGUAAGGGAAAAAUGCCAUGUAGAGUGGAAAGCUACAUGGAGGGAUGGUACUUUACUAGAAAGCCCCGGCUAACUACGUGCCAGCAGCCGCGGUAAUACGUAGGGGGCGAGCGUUACCCGGAAUCACUGGGCGUAAAGGGAGCGUAGGUGGCCUGACAUGUCAACUGUGAAAACCCGGAGCUCAACUCCGGACUUGCAGUUGAAACUGCCAGGCUUGAGGACGGUAGAGGAAGACGGAACUGCCAGUGUAGGGGUAAAAUCCUUAGAUAUUGGCAGGAACGCCGGUGACGAAGGUGGUUUUCUGGGCCGGUUCUGACACUGAUGCUCGAAAGCCAGGGGAGCGAACGGGAUUAGAUACCCCGGUAGUCCUGGCCCUAAACGAUGUUCACUAGGUGUGGGGAGCGGAAAGCUUUCCGUGCUAAAGCUAACGCAAUAAGUGAACCGCCUGGGGAGUACGCCCGCAAGGGUGAAACUCAAAUGAAUUGACGG
rnacentral:rRNA from 1 species